ACUGGCAUGUCAUUGGGAUAGUGAGAGGAGCAGAGCGGGUGGCGUGCCUGCAUUACUCCCUCAUCAAUAUGCGAUUAAUAAUGCAGCAGGCACAGACUGAGCAUUCUGUAGGGUUUCAGCCUGGUGUUUAGUUAACUACAUUCAUCAUGGAAUGGAUGGAUCAGUGUUGGGGUUGGAGUUGGGCUGGGAUGGCCUCAAACUGGGUUGGGCUGGGACUUGGUUGGGGUUGGGUUAGGGAUGGGCAAGGGUUGGGCUGAGCUGGGUUAGAGUUGUGUUGGGGUGGGUUGGGAUGGGUUGGGGUUUGGGCUGUGUUGGUGCUUGGGCUGGGCUGGGGUAGUGUUGUGGUUGGGUUGUGGCUGGGCUGGGCUGGCCAAAGGUUGGGGAUGGGUUGGAGCUGGGCUUGGAUUGGGGCUGAAGCUGGACUGGGCUAGGGUUGGGUUGUAUUGGGCUGAGCUGAGUUGUGUUGGUCUGGGUUAGAGUUGUGUUGGGAUGGUUUGGGGCUUGGGCUGUGUUGGUGCUUGGGUUGGGCUUGGCUACUGUUGUGGUUGGGUUGUGGCUGGGCUGGCCAAAGGUUGGGGAUGGGUUGGAGCUAGGCUAGAGUUGGGGCUGGGCUGGGCUGAAUCUGGGCUGGGCUAGGGUUGGGGCUGGGCUGAAGCUGGGCUGGGCUAGGAUUGGGGCUGGGCUAGGGUUGGAGCUUAGGCUGGGCUAGGGUUGGAGCUGGGCUAGGGUUGGAGCUGAGUUGGAGCUUGUCUGGUGCUGGGGCUGGGCUAGGGUUGGAGCUAGUCUGGUGCUGGGACUGGGCUCGGGUUGGGGCUGGGCUAGGGUUGGGUCUGUGCUAGGGUUGGGGCUGAGUUGGAGCUGCUCUGGUGUUGGGGCUGGGCUAGGGUUGGAGCUGGGCUAAGGUUGGGGUCGGAGCUGGGUAACCCUUCACUUCAACAGGACAGGCAUGCCUAGGGUUGCACAUUUAUGGUAAAUUUCUUAAAAUGCCCAGGUUUUCCAGCUG
ensembl:lncRNA